UCGAGCUGAGCACCAUUACAACCAAGAUCGAUUGCGUGUGAGUAGAAGCGUAUGAAGAGCGAGGAAAUCAGUUCGCUGUAGGCCUCGCAAGGAAAGGUACGCUCGUGCGUCCCUGUAUCGCCAGAAAGCGAUUGUGCAAUAAAUUCAGCGGAGCAAAUAACAAGAAUUGCAGCUGCACAAAGUCACAAUCGAGUCGUGUAAAAGUGCCGGGUGUCUCGGUAGACGGUACCGUGACAACGAUCGUGCGGCCAAGCUAAGACGUCUGGUUGAGCAGGGAACACUACGAUUGGAGCGUGGCUUAAAGCGAACGGCAAAGAAGGUCAUAAAUUGUUACGCAAAAUAGUCUGAACGUUGGACACGGGGCCCACAGGCCAUUCAGCCCGUCGUCGGAGAAAGCACCCACACACGAGGCUUUGGCAAUAGUCUCCAUUUUAAAAGCCAGGAGACGGUUCAGCUAGGUCACCGACACUGAGUGAGAACGACAUUCGCGCCGGAAGGUCCCAAACAGCACUCGUGGUGACGAUUAGUGGUGUAGCCGGUACACGACGGCGAGACUCAAGGGCGCGUACGGAAUCAAGAACGGUAUACCCUACGGAACAAGCCAGUUGGAAUUACUGCACCGUCAGCAAGGAAAAGGAGCCCCUCUCAAGGGGCUUUAUUUGCAGAUUUCGGAUUCGUGCUUCGGGUCGGAGGCAAGGCCUAGGUACGGACAACGACGAAGCGACGGCGACCGGACGCACAUCUGGUUCCACACCGGAACCGUGUAGCUAUCAGCGAGUGAACAUUAGGCGAGUGGCUCAAAUCGACAGCAGCAUAACGGGUUUGGCUGGCUGUGUGAGCUCACGGCUUCUCGUCGUCUGCUUGGACGUGAACGCAUCGGUGGCUGAGAAGAGAACAUGCAGCCCAUUCAUGCGACAUUGGACCGGCGACAAUCGUGAGUCUGUGCGAAUAGAUUAAGCUAAAAUCGAAGAGAGUAGGAGAUGUAGGGAUGCAGAGUAGGAAACGAUGGAAGGGUUUCCCAAUAUAAUGUGUU